ensembl:lncRNA
AGAACAGGUGUCUUCCUCCAGUCCAGGGUCCUUCCUGUGAGUAACCCCGAACUUGACCUCUUCAUGGGUGCCUCCCACCCCUCCUGAGAAGGGCCCUGGACCUUCGUCUCCUCUGGGUUUAGCUGCCAGUGGCCUGGAAAAGCUCCUUGGAGAAGUUACGGCUUUCAAAGCUGUCAGUUAAGGCUUCCCAGGCAGGGCUCUGACGUCUGAUGUGCCAGUACCUUGCUCGGGCAAGGAUGGUCUGGUUCUUUCCUCCUGUGCCUCGGUUUGCUCACCUGUAAGCAGAAGAGGGCCACGUGUGCCUGGCAGGCUCCUGUGAGAGUCCGGAGCGGCGCGGAGAAGCAGCUCUCCUAGGAUGAGCUAAUGCCAUGAAGCAGGAAGACCUAGGGAAGCGCCGAAGGGAGGGCACAAAAUCUAUCAUUAUUGGUGAAAAAACCUAGACUGACAUCCUGACCACUCGGGGUACUCAGGGGCCAGCUUGCCUGCCAAUGGACCAGACCCAGAGGCCACAACCAGGACCCUUUUGUCCCUGGUCUCCUUUUGACGUGGACAACUGGCCAGAGUGCCCUGACUGGGCUUCCCUGGUGGAGCUGAGGUUAAAGCGUCUGCUUGCAGUAUGGGAGACUUGGGUUUGAUCCCUGGGUCGAGAAGAUCCCCUGGAAAAGGAAAUUUUGCUUUGUCUGGCAACCAUGUGGUUUAGACCUGCUGCCAUUUUGUUAGAACUUGAUUUUCUUUCCCUGUGCCUUGAGACCAGGGCUCUCAGGAACACUUAUCUGACACUAAGGAAAAAGGAAAAAAAAGACUUGAAGCUAGAUCUUGCACUGUGUCUGUCUAAAUAUGUCUUGGUAAUAUUUUUGUAUAUGAGCUCUGUUUAUUUGGCUUAAAAAAGGUAAGCGCUUACAAAUCAAGUUAUUCUAAAUUAAACAAUAAAUUCCAGGUUCAUGCGAACUGGGAAAUAUUCAAUGUUAAAUACCUGAUAUUAAUGUUUGUUUGUUAACCUAUCUAAUAUAGACAUGUCUUAGAAUAAUUAAUGUUAAGUAGAAUAUUUUCAUUGUACCUAGGACUAAUAUAAGUUAAAUAUUAUAUCUGUUACAAGUUUGUCAACAAGGAAAUUACCUCAAGUGAAGAAACUUCUAAAAAAUGUAAGUGAGAUAUGAGCUUUUAUAUCUCUAGCUAACUUUGGGGUGCUUCAGAGGGCCCCUGAAACAUCCCAAAGAGAGAUAUUAAACUGUGUUUAUUUGGUUGGUUAAAUUACAUGAAAAAGAUUAUCAGAUGAGUAAUAAAUCCACUCAGGUUAUAAUGUAUGGUAAAAUUACUAAUACAGAUAUCCUAAAAAUUAUAUGGAGUUUUUAACAUUCUGAUGUGUCCUGGUAUUUUAAUGGAAAACCUGAUGACUUCACAAAAGUUAGCAAAAGGACUGAAUGAACCAGCGAAUAUACUUAUAACUUUUAUGGUUUCUAUCUGAAAAAUUAUGGGGUUGAAUCUUAUGUUUUC